rnacentral:rRNA from 1 species
CCUACGGGAGGCAGCAGUGGGGAAUAUUGGACAAUGGGGGGAACCCUGAUCCAGCCAUGCCGCGUGUGUGAAGAAGGCCCUCGGGUUGUAAAGCACUUUCAGUGAGGAAGAACGCCUGGUGGUUAAUACCCAUCAGGAAAGACAUCACUCACAGAAGAAGCACCGGCUAACUCCGUGCCAGCAGCCGCGGUAAUACGGAGGGUGCGAGCGUUAAUCGGAAUUACUGGGCGUAAAGCGCGCGUAGGUGGCUUGAUAAGCCGGUUGUGAAAGCCCCGGGCUCAACCUGGGAACGGCAUCCGGAACUGUCAAGCUAGAGUGCAGGAGAGGAAGGUAGAAUUCCCGGUGUAGCGGUGAAAUGCGUAGAGAUCGGGAGGAAUAACAGUGGCGAAGGCGGCCUUCUGGACUGACACUGACACUGAGGUGCGAAAGCGUGGGUAGCAAACAGGAUUAGAUACCCUAGUAGUC